rnacentral:tRNA from 1 species
CAAAGUAAAGUUAAUAUAGUAUAACUUUUCAUUUACAUUGAAAAAAAUUAUCGUGCAAGUCGAUUUGCUUUGA